ACUCUUUCAGAUCUCUUCGAAAGAGUUGAUUCAACUUCACAAUUCAACCAAUCAGGUGGCAGCAACCGCAUGGGAUUAUGGGAUAGCACAAGUCAAAACAAUAUGGCGGCAAAGUUUAUGUGAAAAAGCAGCGAAUCUAAUUUGUUAUAUAUUAAUUCAGCAAAGAUGAGUCAAAAUUUUGAACAAGCUCCCAUUGGGGAAACUUUUAAAUGGAGCAUCGAAAUGGAGAGCACAUCUAUUGAACUCUUGAAGAAAACAUUUGGAAUGUAACAUCCGCCACCACAGGAAAUAUCAUUCAAGAGCUCAUAAAAAAUUAAUCGAAACUGCUUUUACAUUUCUUUUGGAAUAAAUUGAUCAUUUUUAUCAGUU